AUUGAACGCUGGCGGCAUGCCUUACACAUGCAAGUCGAACGGUAACGGGCCUUCGGGUGCCGACGAGUGGCGAACGGGGGAGUAAUACAUCGGAACGUGCCCGAUCGUGGGGGAUAACGAGGCGAAAGCUUUGCUAAUACCGCAUACGAUCUACGGAUGAAAGCAGGGGACCGCAAGGCCUUGCGCGGACGGGGCGGCCGAUGGCAGAUUAGGUAGUUGGUGGGAUAAAAGCUUACCAAGCCGACGAUCUGUAGCUGGUCUGAGAGGUGAUCAGCCACACUGGGACUGAGACACGGCCCAGACUCCUACGGGAGGCAGCAGUGGGGAAUUUUGGACAAUGGGCGCAAGCCUGAUCCAGCCAUGCCGCGUGCAGGAUGAAGGCCUUCGGGUUGUAAACUGCUUUUGUACGGAACGAAAAGCCUUCUUUUAAUACAGGAGGGUCAUGACGGUACCGUAAGAAUAAGCACCGGCUAACUACGUG
rnacentral:rRNA from 1 species